GUGGGGAAUAUUGGACAAUGGGGGGAACCCUGAUCCAGCCAUGCCGCGUGUGUGAAGAAGGCCUUUUGGUUGUAAAGCACUUUAAGCGAGGAGGAGGCUACCGAGAUUAAUACUCUUGGAUAGUGGACGUUACUCGCAGAAUAAGCACCGGCUAACUCUGUGCCAGCAGCCGAGGUAAUACAGAGGGUGCAAGCGUUAAUCGGAUUUACUGGGCGUAAAGCGCGCGUAGGUGGCCAAUUAAGUCAAAUGUGAAAUCCCCGAGCUUAACUUGGGAAUUGCAUUCGAUACUGGUUGGCUAGAGUAUGGGAGAGGAUGGUAGAAUUCCAGGUGUAGCGGUGAAAUGCGUAGAGAUCUGGAGGAAUACCGAUGGCGAAGGCAGCCAUCUGGCCUAAUACUGACACUGAGGUGCGAAAGCAUGGGGAGCAAACAGGAUUAGAUACCCUGGUAGUCC
rnacentral:rRNA from 1 species